rnacentral:rRNA from 1 species
UAACCUGCCCAAGAGAUCGGGAUAACACCUGGAAACAGAUGCUAAUACCGGAUAACAACAGAUGAUGCCUAUCAACUGUUUAAAAGAUGGUUAUGCUAUCACUCUUGGAUGGACCUGCGGUGCAUUAGCUAGUUGGUAGGGUAACGGCCUGCCAAGGCGAUGAUGCAUAGCCGAGUUGAGAGACUGAUCGGCCACAUUGGGACUGAGACACGGCCCAAACUCCUACGGGAGGCAGCAGUU